AGUGAACGCUGGCGGUAGGCCUAACACAUGCAAGUCGAACGGCAGCACAGUAAGAGCUUGCUCUUACGGGUGGCGAGUGGCGGACGGGUGAGGAGUACAUCGGAAUCUACUUUUUCGUGGGGGAUAACGUAGGGAAACUUACGCUAAUACCGCAUACGACCUACGGGUGAAAGCAGGGGAUCUUCGGACCUUGCGCGAUUGAAUGAGCCGAUGUCGGAUUAGCUAGUUGGCGGGGUAAAGGCCCACCAAGGCGACGAUCGGAAGCUGGUCUGAGAGGAUGGUCAGCCACACUGGAACUGAGACACGGCCCAGACUCUGACGGUAGGCAGCAGUGGGGAAUAUUGGACAAUGGGCGCAAGCCUGAUCCAGCCAUACCGCGUGGGUGAAGAAGGCCUUCGGGUUGUAAAGCCCUUUUGUUGGGAAAGAAAAGCAGCAGGUUAACACCCCGCUGUACUGACGGUACCCAAAGAAUAAGCACCGGCUAACUUCGUG
rnacentral:rRNA from 1 species